UCGUGACGCGGUCUAAUUUGAUGUGGGACACCCUGUACAAUCAAGGUUAUAACCUUGUAUACAUUGAACUCAUUUUCGGUGGCUGUACAAUUGUAUAUUGGAUGUUUGUAAACAAACGCAACCUAAACUUGAAAUUAAAACCCAGUAUUGAAACCAUAUUUGCAUUCCAUAGUUAUAUAGGAAUCUACGAAAUAAAGUUUGGCGGGAACAGUUAUAUAGCUACUCGUAUAAUGGAGCGAGGAUGGCAUACCGAAUACAACUGUACACUGGAAAGACCGGUUCAUUUCAAGAACCUGGCCGAUUUUUAACCUGCUAAAGCAAGCUGUACGGUACACAUUCAGACAACAUAUAAGGCAAAACCGGACAGUACGCCAAAUAAACAUCUAGUGAAAUUUAUGUGGGUUAACCCUUUUAAAUCAUUUUCCGAUCAAGGAGGACUGAUAUACAACUGAGAUGUGUCGGAUUCUCAUCUUCAUAUCUUUGUUAUCAUUAUCUAUUAUUGAAAUAAAGAAGCUAUAAAUGCA